GGGUGAUCCUAUGCUGCCGAGAAAAGCCUCUAGUGAGUGUCGUGGCGGCCCGUACCCCAAACCGACUCAGGUGGUCAGGUAGAGAAUACCAAGGCGAUCGGGUGAACUGUGGUUAAGGAACUCGGCAAAUUGCCCCCGUAACUUCGGGAGAAGGGGGGCCUCCGCUGGUGAUCAGACUUGCUUUGUGAGCUGGUGGGGGUCGCAGAGGCCAGGGGGAAGCGACUGUUUACUAAAAACACAGGUCCGUGCGAAGUCGUAAGACGAUGUAUACGGACUGACGCCUGCCCGGUGCUGGAACGUUAAGGGGACCGGUUAGCGCAUCUUCGGGUGUGCGAGGCUGAGAACUUAAGCGCCAGUAAACGGCGGUGGUAACUAUAACCAUCCUAAGGUAGCGAAAUUCCUUGUCGGGUAAGUUCCGACCUGCACGAAUGGCGUAACGACUUCCCCGCUGUCUCAACCGCAGACCCGGCGAAAUUGCACUACGAGUAAAGAUGCUCGUUACGCGCAGCAGGACGGAAAGACCCCGGGACCUUCACUACAGCUUGACAUUGGCGUUUGGAACGUCUUGUGUAGGAUAGGUGGGAGACUGUGAAGCUGUCACGCUAGUGGUGGUGGAGUCAUUGGUGAAAUACCACUCUGGUCGUUUUGAACGUCUAACUUCGGUCCGUGAUCCGGAUCAGGGACAGUGUCUGGUGGGUAGUUUAACUGGGGCGGUUGCCUCCUAAAGAGUAACGGAGGCGCCCAAAGGUUCCCUCAGCCUGGUUGGUAAUCAGGUGUCGAGUGUAAGUGCACAAGGGAGCUUGACUGUGAGACCGACGGGUCGAGCAGGAGCGAAAGCUGGGACUAGUGAUCCGGCGGUGGCAUGUGGAAGCGCCGUCGCUCAACGGCUAAAAGGUACCCCGGGGAUAACAGGCUGAUCUUCCCCAAGAGUCCAUAUCGACGGGAUGGUUUGGCACCUCGAUGUCGGCUCGUCGCAUCCUGGGGCUGGAGUAGGUCCCAAGGGUUGGGCUGUUCGCCCAUUAAAGCGGUACGCGAGCUGGGUUUAGAACGUCGCGAGACAGUUCGGUCCCUAUCCGCUGCGCGCGCAGGAGACUUGAAAGGAGCUGUCCCUAGUACGAGAGGACCGGGACGGACGAACCUCUGGUGUGCCAGUUGUUCCGCCAGGAGCAUGGCUGGUUGGCUACGUUCGUAAGGGAUAACCGCUGAAAGCAUCUAAGCGGGAAGCUCGCCUUGAGAUGAGGUCUCCCACCACGAGAGUGGGUAAGGCCCCCGGGAGCUGACCGGUACUAAUAGGCCGAGGACUUGACCAC
rnacentral:rRNA from 1 species